UAGCUAGUUGGUGAGGUAACGGCUUACCAAGGUGACGAUCUGUAGCGGGUCUGAGAGGAUGAUCCGCCACACUGGAACUGAGACACGGUCCAGACUCCUACGGGAGGCAGCAGUGGGGAAUUUUGGACAAUGGGGGCAACCCUGAUCCAGCCAUGCCGCGUGAGUGAAGAAGGCCUUCGGGUUGUAAAGCUCUUUCGGCCGGGAAGAAAUCGCAUGGGCCAAUACCCUGUGUGGAUGACGGUACCGGAAUAAGAAGCACCGGCUAACUACGUGCCAGCAGCCGCGGUAAUACGUAGGGUGCGAGCGUUAAUCGGAAUUACUGGGCGUAAAGCGUGCGCAGGCGGUUUUGUAAGACAGGCGUGAAAUCCCCGGGCUCAACCUGGGAACUGCGUUUGUGACUGCAAGGCUAGAGUACGGCAGAGGGGGGUGGAAUUCCACGUGUAGCAGUGAAAUGCGUAGGGAUGUGGAGGAACACCAAUGGCGAAGGCAGCCCCCUGGGUCGAUACUGACGCUCAUGCACGAAAUCGUGGGUAGCAAACAGGAUUAGAUACCCUGGUAGUCCACGCCCUAAACUAUGUCAACUAGGUGUUGGGUGGGUAAAACCAUUUAGUACCGUAGCUAACGCGUGAAGUUGACCGCCUGGGGAGUACGGCCGCAAGGUUAAAACUCAAAGGAAUUGACGGGGACCCGCACAAGCGGUGGAUGAUGUGGAUUAAUUCGAUGCAACGCGAAAAACCUUACCUACCCUUGACAUGCCAGGAACUUGCCAGAGAUGGCUUGGUGCCCGAAAGGGAGCCUGGACACAGGUGCUGCAUGGCUGUCGUCAGCUCGUGUCGUGAGAUGUUGGGUUAAGUCCCGCAACGAGCGCAACCCUUGUCGUUAAUUGCCAUCAUUUAGUUGGGCACUUUAGCGAGACUGCCGGUGACAAACCGGAGGAAGGUGGGGAUGACGUCAAGUCCUCAUGGCCCUUAUGGGUAGGGCUUCACACGUCAUACAAUGGUCGGUACAAAGGGUCGCCAAGCCGCGAGGUGGAGCCAAUCCCAGAAAGCCGAUCGUAGUCCGGAUUGCAGGCUGCAACUCGCCUGCAUGAAGUCGGAAUCGCUAGUAAUCGUGGAUCAGCAUGUCACGGUGAAUACGUUCCCGGGUCUUGUACACACCGCCCGUCACACCAUGGGAGCGGGUUCCGCCAGAAGUAGGUAGCCUAACCGUAAGGAGGGCGCUUACCACGGCGGGGUUCGUGACUGGGGUGAAGUCGCAACAAGGUAGCCGUAGGGGAACCUGCGGCUG
rnacentral:rRNA from 1 species